rnacentral:rRNA from 1 species
GGAGGCGGGAGAGGUCGACGGUAUUCCCGGGGUAGGGGUGAAAUCCUAUAAUCCCGGGAGGACCACCAGUGGCGAAGGCUGUCGGCUAGAACGCGCUCGACGGUGAGGGACGAAAGCUGGGGGAGCGAACCGGAUUAGAUACCCGGGUAGUCCCAGCUGUAAACGAUGCGGGCUAGGUGUUGAAGUGGCUACGAGCCACUUCAGUGCCGCAGGGAAGCCAUUAAGCCCGCCGCCUGGGGAGUACGGCCGCAAGGCUGAAACUUAAAGGAAUUGGCGGGGGAGCACCACAAGGCGUGAAGCUUGCGGUUCAAUUGGAGUCAACGCCGGGAACCUUACCGGGGGCGACAGCAGAAUGAAGGCCAGAUUGAAGGUCUUGCCGGACAAGCUGAGAGGAGGUGCAUGGCCGUCGCCAGUUCGUGCCGUGAGGUGUCCUGUUAAGUCAGGCAACGAUCGAGACCCGCGCCCCUAGUUGCUACUGAGGAAGUUUCCAAAGGGUACUCUAGGGGGACUGCCGUCGAUAAGGCGGAGG